AGGGGAACGGAAGAGGAUGGCUUUUGCCUUUUCUGGUAGCUACAGCAAACGAGAGAAGCUCUUUGUGUUAGUGGUGCUGAGACAGAAACGAGGAGAGUGCGACCGAAAGGCUGGAAUGGUGUGAGAGCGCGCGGAGAAACAGACUCCUCCAGGGCUUCUCGUUGCUGUAGUAAGGGCCACACCUCCAGGACUGAAUCAUGGACGACGACUUUGAGUGGCGCAGGGAGCAGAGGAGACAGAAGAGAGAGGAGAUGCGGCUAGAAGCAGAAAGGAUGGCUUACCGCAGGAAUGAGGAGGAUGAGGAAGAGGCAGCUCGUGAGCGUCGGCGAAGAGCACGCCAAGAGCGUAUACGAGGCAAGGAUGCUGAGGAGGUAGCUAACCCAGCCGAGAGCGCGGGGCUGAACAGCCACAGUGUCACAGUAGCAGAGACUGUGUCAAGCUCGGAGCUGAGCUCGGGCCAGGCCAAUGAGGGAGAUGAUGAAGAGCAGGCUCUGCUUGAGCGCCUGGCCAAGCGGGAAGAGCGCAGGCAGAGGAGGAUGAAGGAGGCAAUGGACAGGCAGAAACAGCAGGAUUCCAUCGAUGCUCCAUCCUACAGCACCUACAGUGUUGAGAGUUCCUCUACCACCUCUUACCGAGCAUUUAGCAACCAGGAGGAGGAGGAGGCAGCACUCAACAGCAAGGAGGAGGAGGUGAAAGAGGAGGUGAAGAAGGAGGUCAUUCCACAGAUGGAGGUGGUGGAAGAGAAGUCACCCAGGUCUUAUUUGAGAGAGCAGGAAUCCACUGAGAAAAAAGCAAAAAUUGAAGACGAGGCCGGUAUUGGUCAGGAUUCUGUGUGUCCAAGAAAAAAAUGCAGUCCUUUAAAUGAAGACCUAGCUCAUUCUACAUGGAAUUCAAAGCAGGAAGUGGAGGAGGAUGUGGCAGAAGUUCAUGAGGAUGUAGCGGAAGGAGAUGAGAAUGAGUUAGAGAUGGAGGAUGAGGAGCCAGGAUUGAAAAGCAAGCAGCAGAAUGGAGGAUUGUACGAGGACGGCAAACACAAAAAGGUGGAAAGAACCCAGAGCCGUGGCAGCGCUCACUCUUCUGAGGGCCCGGCAGCAGAGGAAGGGGACGACGGAGAACAAACACGCCUGGAGGCAGAAAGGAAACUGGAGGAGCUGAAGAGGAGAAGAGACGAGACGGAGAACGAGGAGUUUGAGAGGAUGAAACAGAAGCAGCAGGAGGCAGAAGCUGAGCUGGAGGAGCUGAAGAGGAAGAGAGAGGAAAGGAGGAAGGUGCUGGAGGAAGAAGAGCGACUGAAAAAGCAAGAGGAGGCUGAGAAGAAGGCGAGAGAGGAGGAGGAAAAAAGGAGGAUGAAGGAAGAGAUAGAGAGGAGGAGAGCGGAGGCGGCUGAACGGAGGCAGAAGGUCGGGGAAGAGGUAGAUGGAGAAGCUAGCAAGCCCUUUAAGUGUGUGAGCCCCCGAGGAUCCUCUCUGAAGAUUGGUGAAAGGGCAGAAUUCCUCAACAGGUCAGCGCAGAAAAGUGCUGCGAAGGCAUCUCACUCUCCCGUGGUGUCAAAGAUUGAUAACAGAUUGGAGCAGUACACCACGGCUGUGCAGAGUAAUAAAGAGGUGAGGUCACCACGUGUGGCUGCAGUCGACCUGCCCGUGGUUUCUGAUGGCGUGCGGAACAUUAAGAGCAUGUGGGAAAAGGGAAACGUUUUCAGCUCCACCAUCAGCUCACCCUCCAGCAACAAGGAUGCAGCUGGAAUAAAGGUGGGUGUCGCAGGCCGCAUCAACGAUUGGCUGAACAAAACACCAGAGGCGAGCAAAACUCCAGGAGGAAGACCUGUGGACCUGAAACCCGGCGAUGUUACUGGCAAGCGCAACCUUUGGGAAAACAAAAGCUCUCCUGCUACCAAGACUUCUUCCUGCUAGUUGUCUUCAGAUUUGGCUCCUUGAGGAGAUGACAGGCAGAGGAGAGAGCAAAUCUGUUGCCAAUGGAACGGGUCACUAAACUUUCCAAGAAGCUACAGCACCAGGGACCAAGUGAAAGCACCAUAUUCCUUUCACAUGCAUGUACUCGUACCAAAAAUUACCAAAAAUAGUCUCGCAUGUUUUCUUUGGCCCAGACAAAUCUCAAAGAUGAGGUAAAAAAAAAAAAAAGAGAGAAAAUCCUAUAUUCUUACCGUGUAGUCAGAGGCGUCCAGACCGCAUGGUCCUGAUUAGAGAGAAGUGUUUCACAUGAAGCCACUCUUCCAGUGUGAAACAUUUAUAUCAGUAUAAUAUCGAAAUACUGAGCAGUUCUAAAAUGACCCAUUUACUUUAGAUGGAUUAAACAAUAUUUAAAUACCUUGCAUAAUUUUACUCAUAAUUACGUAUUGCUUUUUAUAAAAUCUCUUCUCUGCUAGUCACCCUUCACACCUUUUUAAUUUAUAAUUAAAGCAAAGCUUGAUUCAUAUUUUAUUCAUUUUCACCAGUCCAGGGCAAAAUAUGGGCACCCAUAGAAUAGUGUAUUUUUUACUUUAACUUUUUGUCAAAGUGACACAUUUUAAUUAUAGUGAAACUAUGGUCUUAAUAAUAUAUGUUAGCACAUAGUGUAUGUUUUUGUAAUUAACUAUAUAUUUUGUUGCCACUUUAUAUUAAAUGACAUUCUUGCUUCUGCUCUCAAUAUUAAGAUUGGAAUACAGCCAUUAUAGACAUUCACCAUUAUUAUUAUUAUUAUUAUUAUUAUUACUGCAGUAUUUUCUUUUAUACAUUCAAGUGCUUUUUAGUCAGUAUAUUCAACAUGAUAUAUUUCUAGUAGACAUAAAUGCUUUGCUCCGCACUGAAUAAAGGGAACACAAAAUGGAAAAAAAAAACAUUCACAAACAUUUCUCUGCAUAUAGUUCUAGCUUAAGUUGCCAUUAUUAUUUUGAAAGUGUGUUUAGUAUGUUAAAGGACAGAUGGCCCUAAGCCAUUACUGCGGACCAAUUAAUGUUGUCUGUUUGUUCGGGGAUUUUUUUGUUUGUUUUUGUUCACCUUUAGCACUUCGUUCCUAGUAGAACACUAGAUGUUGUCAACAGUAUCAUUGGACUGUAGUAUGUGCUGGUGGGCAGACGAUUAGUGGCUUUUUAAAUCAGCAGGGUUUGUUGGUUAACGGUUAUGUGACUGAUGGUGAAUGUUUUCGUGGCUUGUGUUGUGUUGUCGGGGUUAAUUCCCCCUGAUUAGUAUUUUGGUUCAUGUUUUAAAAUGUGAAAAUGUCUGAAUUUUGGUCUUCGACAAUCAAUUAAAAGACAAACUUUGUACUCUCUGUAUUUUCCAUAAUGACUGUAUUGGGGUAAUUGUCUGCAAACCAUGCCAAUUUUAAUUCUUUACCUUUUAACACUCUGACCAUUUAUUGUAACCAAUUUUCACACAGGACAUCUUUUAAACAUUGUAUCAUUGACUCAAAACAGCAAUAAAGUGAUCAAUGUAAAAACCUCAA